CCCUUAGAUGUCCUGGGCCGCACGCGCGCUACACUGAUGCAUGCAACGAGUUGCCAUUCUCCUGGGUCGAGAGGCCCGGGUAAUCUGCUGAACGUGCAUCGUGAUAGGGAUAGAUCUUUGCAACUAUCGAUCUUGAACGAGGAAUUCCUAGUAAACGCGAGUCAUCAGCUCGCAUUGAUUACGUCCCUGCCCUUUGUACACACCGCCCGUCGCACCUACCGAUUGAAUGUUUCGGUGAAGAUUCCGGACCGCGUUCGGCGCGCUUAACGGCGCGUCCGCGCGUGGGAAGUUAUCUAAACCUCAACAUUUAGAGGAAGGUGAAGUCGUAACA
rnacentral:rRNA from 1 species